rnacentral:rRNA from 1 species
CGGCGGACGGGUGAGUAACGCGUGGGCAACCUGCCUUACACAGGGGGAUAACAAUUAGAAAUGAUUGCUAAUACCGCAUAAGACCACGGUACUGCAUGGUACAGUGGUAAAAACUGAGGUGGUGUAAGAUGGGCCCGCGUCUGAUUAGGUAGUUGGUGGGGUAGAAGCCUACCAAGCCGACGAUCAGUAGCCGACCUGAGAGGGCGACCGGCCACAUUGGGACUGAGACACGGCCCAA